UACGAAGGGGGCUAGCGUUAUUCGGAAUUACUGGGCGUAAAGCGCACGUAGGCGGCUUUGUAAGUCAGAGGUGAAAGCCUGGAGCUCAACUCCAGAACUGCCUUUGAGACUGCAUCGCUUGAAUCCAGGAGAGGUGAGUGGAAUUCCGAGUGUAGAGGUGAAAUUCGUAGAUAUUCGGAAGAACACCGGUGGCGAAGGCGGCCCGCUGGGCAGAGACUGACGCUGAGGAGCGAAAGUGUGGGGAGCGAACAGG
rnacentral:rRNA from 1 species